AAAAAAUCAUUGAAAGAUCGAGUAUGUUAUAGUCCAUCUAAGAAGAGAGGAAUUUCCGAGGCUGAGAGAAAUUCCAGAUGAAGGAUAACAGAAGGCUAAUCUGGAGUGCAGCUAAAAUACUGCCGUCUUGCCACGUUACAGGCACCCAAGAGUUAGAUUGUCUUUUUGAUUGUCUAAAAUCAGGGUGGUACCGCGAGUAAAUCUCUCGUCCCUGCA
rnacentral:ncRNA from 1 species